UGCGGGCGUCCCCAUCGCGAAAGAAAAAUCUCCUUUCCCUUCUCCACGGCUGCACCUUCAUCCUCUCCCUCCCUUGCCGCAUCGACCCCCCUGUCCCGCACUCCCUCUCGCCGGCCGGCGGCAGCUCUGGCCGGCAGGGCGAAGCCACCGGAAUCAUGGCCAAGUCUGGUGCCCGUAAGGAGGCGGCACCCGCCCGGUCAACGGCGACCUCGCCGCCGCCGCAGCGCGUCCCCGGCGCCCCGGCAGGCUCGUGCGCCAGCCGGUUGCCACAGCCGCUCUUCUACACCGGCGCUCCGACUCGCUCGUCCACCAGUCCGUCGACACCGCCGCACCUGUACCUCCCUCUCAUGGAAUAAUCUACUGCAAACCCUAUAUGGAGGCCAAUGUACACCCAUCCACCUGAUGGACCGAUCAGCUACUCUAAUUUAUGUGAGAGAAUAUAUCUAGUGGAAACCAUACAUUCAGAGGAAACAUGGAAACCCAAACGUGUGCCGUUGGAUUGGAUGCGUACUCUGUGAGAUGGAAAGAGGUACAAUUUGCAAAUUGAACCCCGAAAGAAUCCUGUAACUUAGGUACAGAAACAUCCCAUGGCGGCUGAGCCGUCCCGUGCCUUUCCCCAUGGAGGUAUCAUCCCGAUUCGAAAGGAAAAAUCAAUCAUCCAGAUUCGAAAUUCUUUUAUGGGUUAGGAGACCUGUUGGGAGAUGAUGCUUCCCUCCGGCAGGACCCCCUCGUUCCGCGCUGGGCUGGCGAGGGGCGAGCGGCGCGGUUAAUUCCUCUCCGGCGGUUGUGUCCGGCCAAGCGUGCGAGUCUCCGAGCGUUUCGGGCAGGGCCGGCGAGCGGCGUUCCGGGCAGGGCCGGCGAGCGGCGUCCCGGGCAGGGCCAGCGAGCGGCGCUUCUGAUUCGUCUCCGGCCAACAGUGCCGGUCCUCCGAGCAUUCCCCAUCGAUGUCAUACUAGAUCUAAUCCCAAGAUUGGGCUAGGUUUGCCAAGCAAACAGAGGAGGGGACAAGGACGUGGCUCAUUGGGCUGUCUCCUCCAAGAUCAGCACAUCAUUUGAAGGAAGUAGGAGAGGAAACGAGGUAGUGGCAUCUUGCCUACAGCUGCUGAUUUCCCCUGAGUCGUACUGUCCAGAUUUUGGUCUUGAAGAAAUUGCGAGGUUUGCUGGUGGCAGUAAAGAUCUAUGCAGAUUCCAACCAAAAAAAAAGACUGUUGUUGUGUACUCGAGUUGUGUGCUCAAUGUUUGAUGUAUAAGUGUGAGAUUUACUAUGGCUGUUCAGUUAAUGAUGUGUCUAUCUUGUAACAAAAUUACCUAGCAUAAUGCGGUUGGAACAUUUGCCUUAACUAAUGUAUGUGUUGUUGAAGCGAUGCAUGCAUUACUGCAAGUGAAUUCUGAUACUAGUAGACUAUAUUAAAAUUAGCUUCCUUCAGUUUUC